GAUGAAGAACGCAGCGAAAUGCGAUAAGUAAUGUGAAUUGCAGAAUUCAGUGAAUCAUCGAAUCUUUGAACGCACAUUGCGCCCCCUGGUAUUCCGGGGGGCAUGCCUGUCCGAGCGUCAUUACAACCCUCAAGCUCAGCUUGGUGUUGGGCCCCGCCGCCCCGGCGGGCCCUAAAGUCAGUGGCGGUGCCGUCCGGCUCCGAGCGUAGUAAUUCUUCUCGCUCUGGAGGCCCGGUCGCGUGCCCGCCAGCAACCCCCAAUUUUUUUCAGGUUGACCUCGGAUCAGGUAGGGAUACCCGCUGAACUUAAGCAUAUCAAUAAGCGGAGGA
rnacentral:misc_RNA from 1 species